rnacentral:lncRNA from 1 species
GAAAAACAUGAAAAGACUAGACUGGCCUAGCUUCCCAGCCUACAUCUUUCUCCCAUGCUGGAUGCUUCCUGCCCUUGAACGUCAGACUCCAAGUUCUUCAGUUUUGGGACUCGGACUGGCUCUCCUUUCUCCUCAGCUUGCAGACGGCCUGUUGUGGGACCUUGUGAUUGGGCCCAAGGGAGCUUGUUCGCCUCUUCUAUCAUGUGAGAACACAGCUCAAAGAUGCCAUCUAUGAACAAGAAAGUGGGCCCCCACCAGACACCAAAUCUGCCAGCACCUUGAUCUUGGACUUCCCAGCCUCUAGAAUGGUGAGAACUAAAUUUUUGCUGUUUAUAAGCUACCCAGUUUAUGGUACUUUGUUACUGCAGACCAAAUGAACUAAGACACUCCUCAAAAACCAUAUUCACAAAUGAAUUUUGCCUCAGGCUCAGUUUAUAGAAACUCAGGCUAAGAUAACUAUUCCUGUGGAGCAGAGUCAGAAUUUUAUAUUGCUAUAAAAGAUAAACAGUGCUUUCUCAGGACAGCUUGAGACUCCUGUAACCCAAUUUACCCAGUCAGUCUGUCAAUCAUCCUCCUCAGUCCCUGAUGGGAUUGAUGUGAUCUGCCUGUACUUCUGCCAGAAGAAAAUUCAAUACUUUCUGGGAGAUCAUAAAAACACCCUAAACCUCUUCAAUUUACAUACCAUGUGUAGACAGUUUUUAAUCCAAAAUUAUCAGGUCUGUCAGAUCACAAAACCAAAUAACCAAAGCCAAGAGAAAAAGCAGACAGAAGAAACAGACCUAUAGGUGAUCCAAAUAUUGGAAUUAUCAUACAUGGACUUUAAAGUUUCCAUUUGAAAAUCUGUUUUCUUGAUAUAGAUUUUCUAUAUAUUCAAGAAAAUAGAUUUUCAAAUGGGAACUUUCAUCAGAAAACUGGAAUCUAUGUUUUUAAAAAGCAUGAAGUAAAAUCUCAGAACUAAAAACUGAAACAACUGAAAUUAAAAGUUUAAUGCAAGAAGUUUAUAAAACAAUAGCAAUGGCAGAAGAGAGUUAGUGUAGUGGAAAAUAGGUCAGGAGAAAAGUAUCAAUUCUGAAGCACAGGAUUAAAAGGAUUAAAAAAACACAGAAAAGAGCAUACUUGACACAUGGGACAUGGUGAAAAGGUUUAAUACAUGUCAUGAAAGUCUCAGAGAGACAGAAAAGAGAGAAGGGGGCACAUGAAAUAUUUGAUGAGUUACUGUCUGAAAUCUUUCAAAAAAUGAAAAAACAUUAAGCUACAGGUUUGAAAAUCUCUAAAAACUCCAAGUAGGAUAAAUUCAAAGAAAACCAUACCUUGAGCACUUUAAAGGUGGCUGGUACAACUAAGGAAAUGAGGUUUUAAUUGUAUUUUAUUUAAAUUAAUUUAGAUUUAAAUAGUCAUAUACAGCUAGUAGCUACUUACUGGACUGUGAAAGCCUAGGACAGUUGCUAAAAGAACAAAGGAAGGGGCUGGGCACGGUGUCUCACGCCUGUAAUCACAACACUUUGGGAGGCCGAGGCGGGGGGAUCACGAGGUCAGGAGCUCAAGACCAGCCUGGCCAACAUGGUGAAACCCCGUCUCUACUAAAAAUACAAAAAUUAGCCGAGCACGGUGCCAGGCGCCUGUAAUCCCAGCCAUUCAGGAGGCUGAGGCAGGAGAAUCUCUUGAAACCGUAAGGCGGAGGUUGCAGUGAGCCGAAAUUGCGCCACUGCACUCCAGCCUGGACGAAAGAGCAAAACUCCAUCUCAAAAAAAAGAAAAAAAGAGUAAAGGAAGGAUAUAGAACAAAGAAAACUCAAGCUGGAGAAAUAUAAGCACUAAAGUUUCUAAUGAUAUUCAUGUCCAAGUUGAGUCAUACACAGCAUAUAUUGUUGACAUCUUUUAUAAGAGCCAGGUCUUAUGGUUUUUUUAGGUUUCUGGUCUGUAUCCUCUUUAGUGACCAUUGCCCAGUAUUGAAUAGCUACAGAAAAUUCACAGCUUAGCUCUGACCAGCUUUUAGGGGACAUGCCUUCCCCAUAGAAAAGACACCAUUUCUGAAUAAUCACAUUUGCAAACCUGGAUUUACCUCGAUCUAAUCGUGAUUUUGUCCUUCUUCCUCCAGCCCUGAGGCUUGAAGUGUAGUCUGCCGUGUCCCCAAAUCCACCCAAGAUUGAUGCUUCUAAUCCAGGGUGCAAACACCUUCUACAGUUGCCCUAGCAAAGCCCCAAGAGUUAGGACUAUACCCUUAGAGCUUCCUGAGUGCUUUCAGGAAAAUUCACAAGGAAUGCCAAUCUGCAGAAACAAUUAAUUUUGUCAAAAUCUUCCAAUAUGAGUCCAUCCAUUUUCUCUAACCCAGAGGACAGAACAGUCUCUCCAUUCUGAAUAAAAGAGGCCUGAUUUAGAUGUUCCUCCAGGUCAAGAGAAGCUGGACUUACUUUCUUCCAAAAAAGGUGGAAGAGGAAGAGAACUAACAACGGUGUUUAAUCUUCUGUGUCCUUGGUAUGUCAUCACAUGACAUACAGGUAUCCACAGCUCAAGGAGUUUUCACUUCUGUUCUCUACACCUCUAGAAAGUUAUAGCAAAGCAAGGAAAAGCAGGACAGGGGCACUGAAAUGAACAGAGAUAGAGGAAUUUUGUAGGAGAGUUUUCAGAGGUAAAGACUUGAGAGGCUUAUACUUGAAGUUUGCAAAUCCAUGAAAAUUAUGAUUAAUUUUGAAAAUCAAGGACUGUUUGUUUGUUUUACCAAAUUUCAGGCUAUCAGAUGCAGAGAGUAAAAAGAAUGUAGUUUGGGGCAAAUAAGAGUGAGUCCUCUUGCAUUAAAAUGAGUCCAUUGAUUACUAUUUUUUAAAAAUUCUAGGCCGGGCAUGGUGGCCCAC